rnacentral:rRNA from 1 species
GACGAACGCUGGCGGCGUGCUUAACACAUGCAAGUCGAACGGAAAGGCCCUGCUUUUGUGGGGUGCUCGAGUGGCGAACGGGUGAGUAACACGUGAGUAACCUGCCCUUGACUUUGGGAUAACUUCAGGAAACUGGGGCUAAUACCGGAUAGGAGCUCCUGCUGCAUUGUGGGGGUUGGAAAGUUUCGGCGGUUGGGGAUGGACUCGCGGCUUAUCAGCUUGUUGGUGGGGUAGUGGCUUACCAAGGCUUUGACGGGUAGCCGGCCUGAGAGGGUGACCGGCCACAUUGGGCCUGAGAUACGGCCCAGACUCCUACGGGAGGCAGCAGUGGGGAAUAUUGCACAAUGGGCGGAAGCCUGAUGCAGCAACGCCGCGUGCGGGAUGACGGCCUUCGGGUUGUAAACCGCUUUCGCCUGUGACGAAGCGUGAGUGACGGUAAUGGGUAAAGAAGCACCGGCUAACUACGUG